UGGAGAACCAAAAAUCCAAAUAAAGUUCAAUUUACAUGGAGCAGAAAAGAUAGGUCAGAGUCAACACGAAUAGAUUAUUUUUUAAUAGCUCCAGAAGUAUUCAAAAACUGUGUUUCAUGUGACAUUAGACCAAUAGUAUUACAAUACACAGACCACAACUGUGUUUCUUUAAAAAUAAAUCUAAACAGAGGCCAAAAAAGGAAAAAGGGUACUGGAAAUUAAACAGCAGUGUACUUCAAAAUGAAGACUAUGCUGAAAAUAUUAGGAAAAUAAUUUUAAAAAAUUUAAAAACAAA
rnacentral:lncRNA from 1 species